GAGAGGCAAAGGCAUCGCAGGCUAGAGUUUGGACCGGAUUGAGGUAAGUAAUGAUUGUAAAUAUUGUCCUGAGGGUAUGAAAUCCUGAAUUUCACAUCGUUGUGCUACUUUGAGGUGACACACACACUAGAUGACGAACGUGGGGUCGUACACUGUUGGGGAUUGUGACUUAGUCUUUCCCGUAUGACUGUAAAGUCGCGUAUUUGAUUGAAAACUCCUUGAUAUCAUUGUGUUUUGGAAAGUAUAUCGUGUUUUGGGCUGAAUGCCAUAUUUGGGUCUCGUGCCAACUGUUUUGGACCCUUAGGGGAUUUUUACUACUAUUCCUCAUUGUUUUGACUUCAUAUUUGUAUUCAGUCAUGUUGUGUUCUACUAUUUCAUAACUCAGCCAUAUUUACUCAGUUUUGAUAUUUUAAAUGAUAUUUUGGGUUGAGCAUCAUGUUUUACUAUUUCUCGAGUGGCUUGAGAGAUUUCUGACUAAGUGAGGCCGAGGGCCUGUGUUGUGAGGAUAUUGUGGGAUCGGACUGCACGCCACAGCAGUGUUGUACUGAUUCAUGAUUAUGAGUCUGAGGGCCUGAUUUGUUACGCCACGAGGUGGCUUAUUAUGAGGUCGAGGGCCAGUUUGAUUAUGUCACGAGAUAGCUUGUUAUAGCGCUAGGGCUGUAGGAGUCCCUCCGAAGUCUGCAUACCCCCAGUGAGCGCGGGUACCCAGUGUGAGUGAUGUGAUGCUGCCCGAUGGGCUGUUGUUGUUUCAUAUUGUUUCCCGAUGGGCUGUUGUUGUUUCAUAUUGUUGCCCGAUGGGCUGUUCUUGAUUCAUGUUGUUCCCGAGGGGCUGAUUACGAGUGAUUGUGAGGUAGCCCGAGGGGCUGGUUCUUACGUUAUUUUGCCUGAGGGACGGUUUAUGGUACAUGUUUUUCCCGAUGAGCUGUUUACAUUUCUAUUAAUUUUACUCAAUAUUCUAUCACUCGUUUGAAACUAUUGAAAGUUGUUUUAAAAAGGUUUUACUGAAACUGAGCUUGAUUUAUGAAGUAAAUGAUUUCUGUACUGUUUUGGAAAUGUACUGUAUUUGCUAUAGCAUUAUGACGUGGUUUACGUGUUUUCUUACUACUCAGUUUUCAUUUACUUUUAUUACUUACUGAGUUGACGUACUCACAUUACUCCAUGCACAUUGUGUGCAGAUUUAGGUAUUUCUGAACCUGGUAGCGAAUGUUGAUUGCUCAGUGGCAGAGUCAUCGGAGUUAGCAAGGUAGCUGCCCGACGUUCGCAACCCUGCUCUUCUCCCUCUUGUCUUCCUUAGAUUGUUUUAGUAUAUUUUCAGACUAUUCGUUGUAUUCAGACCUUAGUGGAUGCUCGUGACUUGUGACACCCCGAUGUCGGGCUUGUGUAUUUAUUCCGCACUGUUCAUUUAGACUUAUAUUAUGAGAUAUUUGAUUAAUUAAAGG
rnacentral:lncRNA from 1 species